AGAACUAAUUUCUCGAUUAGCAAAAUGAGAGCGUAACGACUCGAAGUGCUAACUUUAAACUCCGACAUGCGUCCGCGUAUGAAGCUCGGUAAAGUCGGCAAAAUCAUUCCGAAAUGAAUCGAAAGAGGAUCUAUUCCUUGAAUGAGAUAUGCCGGAAGUCCAUAAA
rnacentral:ncRNA from 1 species